rnacentral:rRNA from 1 species
GACGAACGCUGGCGGCGUGCCUAAUACAUGCAAGUCGAACGAAGCUGUUUUAACUGGUGCUUGCACCGACUUAAACAACCGAGUGGCGAACGGGUGAGUAACACGUGGGUAACCUGCCCCAAAGCGGGGGACAACAUUUGGAAACAGAUGCUAAUACCGCAUAACCACAGAAACCACAUGGUUUCUGUGUCAAAGAUGGUUUCGGCUAUCACUUUGGGAUGGACCCGCGGCGUAUUAGCUAGUUGGUAAGGUAAUGGCUUACCAAGGCAAUGAUACGUAGCCGAACUGAGAGGUUGAUCGGCCACAUUGGGACUGAGACACGGCCCAAACUCCUACGGGAGGCAGCAGUAGGGAAUCUUCCACAAUGGACGAAAGUCUGAUGGAGCAACGCCGCGUGAGUGAAGAAGGUUUUCGGAUCGUAAAACUCUGUUGUCAGAGAAGAACGUGUGCGAGAGUAACUGUUCGUGCAGUGACGGUAUCUGGCCAGAAAGCCACGGCUAACUACGUGCCAGCCGCCGCCGUAA